rnacentral:rRNA from 1 species
GACGAACGCUGGCGGCGUGCUUAACACAUGCAAGUCGAGCGGUAAGGCCCUUUCGGGGGUACACGAGCGGCGAACGGGUGAGUAACACGUGGGUGACCUCGCCCUCGAGCUCGUGGGAAUAACGCCGUACGGGAAACCGGGUCUAAUACCGGAUAUGACUCCAUGACGCAUGUUGUGGGGUGGAAAGCCUUGUGCGGCUGAGGAUGGGCCCGCGGCCUAUCAGCUUGUUGGUGGGGUGAUGGCCUACCAAGGCGACGACGGGUAGCCGGCCUGAGAGGCGACCGGCCACACUGGGACUGAGACACGGCCCAGACUCCUACGGGAGGCAGCAGUGGGGAAUCUUGCGCAAUGGGCGAAAGCCUGACGCAGCGACGCCGCGUGAGGGAUGACGGCCUGG